UUAUAAAUGACAAAUCCAACCUAAGUAACCGGGAGAAAAUAGUGGACUAACUUGUAUAGUUGGGCAGGGCAAGGAUGUAGCUGGAACACAGGGACAACUGGAACCUGGAACAAUCUUGUAGUUCCAUCUUUUGCUUUUGUUCCUUUUUGCUUAUUAGUUCCAUUUUCUCAGGUUGUCUUACUCCAUGUGUUUGGGUUCAUAGGCACGGGUAACUCACAUAUUUCACAUCACAUAUCCUUACCCUAGCGGGGGAAAGAACUCUGAUACUUUGGACUUCGUGGUGCCAUUUCUAGGACUAACAUUUAUGGCUGGAGUGGGGGAGCAGGAUUACAUAGCACAGAUAGGACAGUGGGGACCCCCUUCUGUGUGUCAGGGUCCUUUCUAGAAUCUAGGGGUAGAGGGCAAGAUGAAAGAAGAAGUAAUUCACAUUCCUAAGUAUAUACAAUGACAGCCAGACUUGGUGAGUGUUGCAGUGGAGGCACAAUGAGGACUAAGAGGUGAUAAAGUUGAACGUGUGGAUGGGCUGCAGUUUACAGAAGAGGUGGGAUCAUCACCAGAACUUCCAACAAGGAAAGACUGUGAGGAGGGACUUUUCAGGGCAAGGUGUUAGAAUAAGUAAGGCAUAAAAAAAGAGAGUACAAGGCAUAUUUUGAAAUUGGCUGACAAAUAGUGACUUGAAUCUAAAGAGAAUAGGCCAGCAAUUUGAAAAGUAGUUAGAGAUCAGAUUGUUGAGAAUUUUUAAUACCAUGCUUUAAGAUUCUGGAUUUUCUGUAAGCUUUACCAUAUUGUGUUCUCCACUGUUUCUUGUGUCCUUUAUUAUUUGUGUGAUUCAUUAAAAAACAAACUACCUCUAUUUACCUCUUUUGUGAAAAUGCCACUUCUUUGUCUAGGGCAUUAUGCCUUUGUUAUGUGUAGAUUCCUGUAUACUGGGGGCAGUUGGAGUAUUUGGGCAAAUGUCAUUUAAAUUUUAACAUGAAGAGCAGGAUAUUCUUUAUAAUGCAAGCAAAUUUGUAAUUUUCAGCCAGUAGGAAAUUAAUGUCAUGUUUAUAUUUUACAGGAAUGUGACAAGUGUCAGAGGCGGCAGAAGAAUAGAGCAUUUUGCUAUUUUUGUAAUUCUGUACAGAAGUUACCAAUUUGUGCACAAUGUGGUAA